rnacentral:rRNA from 1 species
UACAGAGGUCCCGAGCGUUUGUUCGGAUUCAUUGGGCGUAAAGGGUGCGUAGGCGGCGGGGCAAGUCUGAUGUGAAAUCCCGGGGCUCAACCCCGGAACUGCAUUGGAUACUGCCUUGCUAGAGUACUGGAGAGGAGACUGGAAUUUACGGUGUAGCAGUGAAAUGCGUAGAGAUCGUAAGGAAGGCCAGUGGCGAAGGCGAGUCUCUGGACAGUUACUGACGCUGAGGCACGAAGGCCAGGGGAGCAAACGGGG